AGAGCGACAAGCGGAAGUUGUUCUGCACCGGGGGUACCAUUCUUCAAAAGCACUCUCAUGAGUCGCUUCAUAACAGCUUUAUAAGAGACAAACAGACCUGGCAGCAGGAAUCUGGGCGUUCUUAUUUCAGAGCCACAAUGCCUCUCUCCACGCAGUCUCAGGGUGAUGACGAACAGUACGUUUUAGUGGCGAGUUUGGACAAUGCCCGCAAUCUCUCCAACAUCCUGAAAGCGAUCGCUUUCAAAGACCAUGCCAUCUUCACAGCUACACCCAAUGGCCUAAAGGUCACUGUGGAGGACUCCAAAUGUCUGCAGGCCAACGCCUUCAUCCAGGCUGAGAUAUUCCAAGAGUUCACCAUAAGAGAAGAUCUAGUGGCUCUUCAGAUCAAUCUCACUGUUCUUCUUGACUGCCUCAAUAUCUUUGGUGGAACCACAACACCAGGUAUAUCAACAGCCUUGCGGAUGUGCUACAAGGGGUAUGGAUACCCUCUAACGUUGUUCCUGGAGGAGGGUGGUGUAGUGACCGUGUGCAAGAUUAACACACAAGAACCAGAAGAACCGAUUGACUUUGAGUUCUGCAGCACUAAUGUCACAAACAAGGUGAUCCUGCAAUCAGAGAGUCUGAAGGAAGCCUUCUCUGAGCUGGACAUGACUAGUGAAGUGUUACAGAUCACCAUGUCCCCAAGCCAACCUUACUUCAGGUUGUCUACAUUUGGGAAUGCUGGAAAUGCUCAUUAUGAUUACUCCAAAGACUCGGAUAUGAUGGAGCUGUUUAAGUGCAUCAAGACACAAACAAACAGGUCAGCAAAGCACUACAAACACAAGGGCAUAUUAUUUAGAUGGUAGAAAAAGCAAACUACUCAGGGGUCAACUAGUAGAACAGGAAACACUAACACGGUGACUAAAACAAAUGUCACACACAGCAGUGAAUGGCUUAGUAGAAAAUGUAUGCUAUUUACUAAUCUGCAUCUUCUGAUGAUCUUUAUCGUGGGAUGACUGACUGUGCUUGAUUUAGUCUUGAUCUCCUUUAAGUUUAGUUAUCUGCCUCAUAGCCGUGUGUGAACAUAAACUUAUUCAUAUAUUAUGAACAAAUUCAGGUAUGAAAAAUUAAAAUGUUGAUAAAUCACUGAUUUGUGUGUGAAAUGUUUGUAUGCGUGAUUUACACACAGAUUUGUGUGUACACACAGUACAGUAGCAGUUAGUAAAUGAGGGACAAUGUUAAUCCGAGUGUGAACUCUGAAAGAUAUCCACACAACUUACAGUCUUGACAGAAAAUUGGGCUCUGUGGAAAUGAUUGGAAAUACUUCACUGAAGUAGGCUCUUGACUGCUUUUUACAUACAAUUUGUCUGACUGGCCCUUUCUCUGGGCCGUGUGCAGACAGUAAUUGUCAGCAUGGUUCCUGACCAGAGGUUAAAUUACCCACAAGAAGUUGCAGCACUUGUGUGUAGGAUUUGAAUCAUUUCACUGCUGACUUUUUGGCUGUUUUCCAUCUCUUUAAAAGCAGACUAACUCCUUCUGUAAUAGAGCUUGUUGACAGGAUAUAUUUGACUUGUCACUGCAGAAAAAACCACAGGUAAAUGACAACAUUCACAUUUGCCACCGCAAGUGCUGACACUUAAUGAGUCAGCAGUCCCGGAACCAAUACAAGAUGUCCCUCCUGAAACCAUCCACCAAAGCCUUGGCUUUGUCUUGUAAAGUCUCCGUCAGGACAGACAACAGAGG